rnacentral:rRNA from 1 species
AGCUUGCUAGAAGAUGACGAGUGGCGGACGGGUGAGUAAUGCUUGGGAACUUGCCUUUGCGAGGGGGAUAACAGUUGGAAACGACUGCUAAUACCGCAUAAUGUCUUCGGACCAAACGGGGCUUCGGCUCCGGCGCAAAGAGAGGCCCAAGUGAGAUUAGCUAGUUGGUAAGGUAACGGCUUACCAAGGCGACGAUCUCUAGCUGUUCUGAGAGGAAGAUCAGCCACACUGGGACUGAGACACGGCCCAGACUCCUACGGGAGGCAGCAGUGGGGAAUAUUGCACAAUGGGGGAAACCCUGAUGCAGCCAUGCCGCGUGUGUGAAGAAGGCCUUCGGGUUGUAAAGCACUUUCAGUUGUGAGGAAAAGUUAGUAGUUAAUACCUGCUAGCCGUGACGUUAACAACAGAAGAAGCACCGGCUAACUCCGUGCCAGCAGCCGCGGUAAUACGGAGGGUGCGAGCGUUAAUCGGAAUUACUGGGCGUAAAGCGCACGCAGGCGGUUUGUUAAGCUAGAUGUGAAAGCCCCGGGCUCAACCUGGGAUGGUCAUUUAGAACUGGCAGACUAGAGUCUUGGAGAGGGGAGUGGAAUUCCAGGUGUAGCGGUGAAAUGCGUAGAUAUCUGGAGGAACAUCAGUGGCGAAAGGCGACUCCCUGGCCAAAGACUGACGCUCAUGUGCGAAAGUGUGGGUAGCGAAC